GAUGAACGCUGGCGGCGUGCUUAACACAUGCAAGUCGAACGGUGAACCCGGAGCUUGCUCUGUGGGAUCAGUGGCGAACGGGUGAGUAACACGUGAGCAACCUGCCCCUGACUCUGGGAUAAGCGCUGGAAACGGCGUCUAAUACUGGAUAUGUGACGUGACCGCAUGGUCUGCGUUUGGAAAGAUUUUUCGGUUGGGGAUGGGCUCGCGGCCUAUCAGCUUGUUGGUGAGGUAAUGGCUCACCAAGGCGUCGACGGGUAGCCGGCCUGAGAGGGUGACCGGCCACACUGGGACUGAGACACGGCCCAGACUCCUACGGGAGGCAGCAGUGGGGAAUAUUGCACAAUGGGCGCAAGCCUGAUGCAGCAACGCCGCGUGAGGGAUGACGGCCUUCGGUUUGUAAACCUCUUUUAGCAGUGAAGAAGCGAAAGUGACGGUACCUGCAGAAAAAGCGCCGGCUAACUACGUG
rnacentral:rRNA from 1 species